CGCCUGGGAAUACCGGGUGCUGUAGGC
rnacentral:piRNA from 4 species